UACGUAGGUGGCAAGCGUUGUCCGGAUUUACUGGGCGUAAAGAGCGCGCAGGCGGUCGUACAAGUCGCGUGUGAAAGCCCCCGGCUCAACUGGGGAGGGUCACGCGAUACUGAUCGACUCGAAGGCAGGAGAGGGAAGUGGAAUUCCCGGUGUAGUGGUGAAAUGCGUAGAUAUCGGGAGGAACACCAGUGGCGAAGGCGACUUCCUGGCCUGUUCUUGACGCUGAGGCGCGAAAGCUAGGGGAGCAAACGGG
rnacentral:rRNA from 1 species